rnacentral:rRNA from 1 species
CUCUUGAGUGGAUCCUGAGUACGACGGAGCACGUGAAAUUCCGUCGGAAUCUGGGAGGACCAUCUCCUAAGGCUAAAUACUCUCUAGUGACCGAUAGUGAACCAGUACCGUGAGGGAAAGGUGAAAAGCACCCCGGAAGGGGAGUGAAAUAGAACCUGAAACCGUGUGCUUACAAGUAGUCAGAGCCCGUUAAUGGGUGAUGGCGUGCCUUUUGUAGAAUGAACCGGCGAGUUACGAUUUGAUGCAAGGUUAAGCAGUAAAUGUGGAGCCGUAGCGAAAGCGAGUCUGAAUAGGGCGUUUAGUAUUUGGUCGUAGACCCGAAACCAGGUGAUCUACCCUUGGUCAGGUUGAAGUUCAGGUAACACUGAAUGGAGGACCGAACCGACUUACGUUGAAAAGUGAGCGGAUGAACUGAGGGUAGCGGAGAAAUUCCAAUCGAACCUGGAGAUAGCUGGUUCUCUCCGAAAUAGCUUUAGGGCUAGCCUCAAGUGAUGAUUAUUGGAGGUAGAGCACUGUUUGGACGAGGGGCCCCUCUCGGGUUACCGAAUUCAGACAAACUCCGAAUGCCAAUUAAUUUAACUUGGGAGUCAGAACAUGGGUGAUAAGGUCCGUGUUCGAAAGGGAAACAGCCCAGACCACCAGCUAAGGUCCCAAAAUAUAUGUUAAGUGGAAAAGGAUGUGGCGUUGCCCAGACAACUAGGAUGUUGGCUUAGAAGCAGCCAUCAUUUAAAGAGUGCGUAAUAGCUCACUAGUCGAGUGACACUGCGCCGAAAAUGUACCGGGGCUAAACAUAUUACCGAAGCUGUGGAUUGUCCUUUGGACAAUGGUAGGAGAGCGUUCUAAGGGCGUUGAAGCAUGAUCGUAAGGACAUGUGGAGCGCUUAGAAGUGAGAAUGCCGGUGUGAGUAGCGAAAGACGGGUGAGAAUCCCGUCCACCGAUUGACUAAGGUUUCCAGAGGAAGGCUCGUCCGCUCUGGGUUAGUCGGGUCCUAAGCUGAGGCCGACAGGCGUAGGCGAUGGAUAACAGGUUGAUAUUCCUGUACCACCUAUAAUCGUUUUAAUCGAUGGGGGGACGCAGUAGGAUAGGCGAAGCGUGCGAUUGGAUUGCACGUCUAAGCAGUAAGGCUGAGUAUUAGGCAAAUCCGGUACUCGUUAAGGCUGAGCUGUGAUGGGGAGAAGACAUUGUGUCUUCGAGUCGUUGAUUUCACACUGCCGAGAAAAGCCUCUAGAUAGAAAAUAGGUGCCCGUACCGCAAACCGACACAGGUAGUCAAGAUGAGAAUUCUAAGGUGAGCGAGCGAACUCUCGUUAAGGAACUCGGCAAAAUGACCCCGUAACUUCGGGAGAAGGGGUGCUCUUUAGGGUUAACGCCCAGAAGAGCCGCAGUGAAUAGGCCCAAGCGACUGUUUAUCAAAAACACAGGUCUCUGCUAAACCGUAAGGUGAUGUAUAGGGGCUGACGCCUGCCCGGUGCUGGAAGGUUAAGAGGAGUGGUUAGCUUCUGCGAAGCUACGAAUCGAAGCCCCAGUAAACGGCGGCCGUAACUAUAACGGUCCUAAGGUAGCGAAAUUCCUUGUCGGGUAAGUUCCGACCCGCACGAAAGGCGUAACGAUUUGGGCACUGUCUCAACGAGAGACUCGGUGAAAUCAUAGUACCUGUGAAGAUGCAGGUUACCCGCGACAGGACGGAAAGACCCCGUGGAGCUUUACUGUAGCCUGAUAUUGAAAUUCGGCACAGCUUGUACAGGAUAGGUAGGAGCCUUUGAAACGUGAGCGCUAGCUUACGUGGAGGCGCUGGUGGGAUACUACCCUAGCUGUGUUGGCUUUCUAACCCGCACCACUUAUCGUGGUGGGAGACAGUGUCAGGCGGGCAGUUUGACUGGGGCGGUCGCCUCCUAAAAGGUAACGGAGGCGCUCAAAGGUUCCCUCAGAAUGGUUGGAAAUCAUUCAUAGAGUGUAAAGGCAUAAGGGAGCUUGACUGCGAGACCUACAAGUCGAGCAGGGUCGAAAGACGGACUUAGUGAUCCGGUGGUUCCGCAUGGAAGGGCCAUCGCUCAACGGAUAAAAGCUACCCCGGGGAUAACAGGCUUAUCUCCCCCAAGAGUUCACAUCGACGGGGAGGUUUGGCACCUCGAUGUCGGCUCAUCGCAUCCUGGGGCUGUAGUCGGUCCCAAGGGUUGGGCUGUUCGCCCAUUAAAGCGGUACGCGAGCUGGGUUCAGAACGUCGUGAGACAGUUCGGUCCCUAUCCGUCGUGGGCGUAGGAAAUUUGAGAGGAGCUGUCCUUAGUACGAGAGGACCGGGAUGGACAUACCUCUGGUGUACCAGUUGUCGUGCCAACGGCAUAGCUGGGUAGCUAUGUGUGGACGGGAUAAGUGCUGAAAGCAUCUAAGCAUGAAGCCCCCCUCAAGAUGAGAUUUCCCAACUUCGGUUAUAAGAUCCCUCAAAGAUGAUGAGGUUAAUAGGUUCGAGGUGGAAG